AACAGAGGGUUCGAUCCUGGCUCAGAUUGAACGCUGGCGGAAUACUUUACACAUGCAAGUCGAACGGCAGCAGACUUCGGUCUGGUGGCGAGUGGCGAACGGGUGAGUAAUGUAUCGGAACGUGCCUAGUAGCGGGGGAUAACUACGCGAAAGCGUAGCUAAUACGCCGCCCUUCGGGGAAAAGCAGGGGACCUUCGGGCCUCGCACUAUUAGAGCAGCCGAUAUCGGAUUAGCUAGUUGGUGGGGUAACGGCUCACCAAGGCGACGAUCCGUAGCUGGUUUGAGAGGACGACCAGCCACACUGGGACUGAGACACGGCCCAGACUCCUGCGGGAGGCAGCAGUGAGGGAAUUUACGGACAAUGGAAACCUGAUCCAUGCAUCCCGCGUGUGCGAUGAAGGCCUUCGGGUUGUAAAGCACUUUUGGCAGGAAAGAAACGGCACGGGAUAAUACCCCGUGCACAGCUGACAGUACCUGCAGAAUAAGCACCGGCUAACUACGUGCCAGCAGCCGCGGUAAUACGUGGUGCAAGCGUUAAUCGGAAUUACUGGGCGUAAAGCGUGCGCAGGCGGUUCGGAAAGAAAGAUGUGAAAUCCCAGAGCUUAACUUUGGAACUGCAUUUUUAACUACCGAGCUAGAGUGUCAGAGAGUGGAAUUCCGGCGAUGUGAUGAAAUGCGUAGAUAUGCGGAGGAACACCCGUGUGAAAGGCAACCUCCUGGGAUAACACUGACGCUCAUGCACGAAAGCGUGGGGAGCAAACAGGAUUAGAUACCCUGGUAGUCCACGCCCUAAACGAUGUCAACUAGCUGUUGGGGCCUUCGGGCCUUGGUAGCGCAACUAACGCGUGAAGUUGACCGCCUGGGAAGUACGGUCGCAAGAUUAAAACUCAAGGUGUGACGGGGACCACAAGCGGUGGAUGAUGUGGAUUAAUUCGAUGCAACGCGAAAAACCUUACCUACCCUUGACAUGUCUGGAAUCCCGAAGAGAUUUAGAAGUGCUCGCAGAGAACCGGAACACAGGUGCUGCAUGGCUGUAGUGUCAGCUCGUGUCGUGAGAUGUUGGGUUAAGUCCCGCAACGAGGCGCAACCCUUGUCAUUGGAUUGCUACGAAAGGGCACUCUAAUGAGACUGCCGGUGACAAACCGGAGGAAGGUGAGGAUGACGUCAAGUCCUCAUGGCCCAUAUGGGUAGGGCUUCACACGUCAUACAAUGGUCAGGACAGAGGGUCGCCAACCCGCGAGGAAGACCCAAUCCCAGAAACCCGAUCGUAGUCCGGAUCGCAGUCUGCAACUCGACUGCGUGAAGUCGGAAUCGCUAGUAAUCGCGGAUCAGCAUGUCGCGGUGAAUACGUUCCCGGGUCUUGUACACACCGCCCGUCACACCAUGGGAGUGGGUUUUACCAGAAGUAAUUAGCCUAACCGUAAGGAGGGCGAUUACCACAGUAGGAUUCAUGACUGGGGGUGAAGUCGUAACUAAAGGUAG
rnacentral:rRNA from 1 species